rnacentral:tRNA from 1 species
ACCUUGGUGGCUCAGAUGGUAAAGUGUCUGCUUGCAGUGCAAGAGACCCAGGUUCGAUCCCUGGUUUGGGAA